UGUAUACAAUGUGAUAGUUGUUAGAGAGGACUAAAGAGAGAUGCAAGGAAAAUAUGUUAUUGGAGGAGAUAGAGAGCUUUACUUGUGGUUUACUAAAUUGGAUUUAUGCUUUGAAAUCGAGAUGAACUAGAGGGCAAGUCAAGGACUAAACCAACUGAGGCUGAAUUAGAUGAGAGUGAUAGAGUUUUAUUUAUUAAUUGUAAAGUUGUAA